CUAUAGCUGAUCUGAGAGGAUGAUCAGCCACACUGGAACUGAGAUACGGUCCAGACUUCUACGGGAGGCAGCAGUGGGGAAUAUUGGACAAUGGGCGAAAGCCUGAUCCAGCCAUGUCGCAUGAGUGAAGAAGGCCCUUGGGUUGUAAAGCUCUUUUAGUGAGGAAGAUAAUGACGGUACUCACAGAAGAAGUCCUGGCUAACUCCGUGCCAGCAGCCGCGGUAAUACGGAGAGGGCUAGCGUUAUUCGGAAUUAUUGGGCGUAAAGGGCGCGUAGGCUGAUUAAUAAGUUAAAAGUGAAAUCCCGAGGCUUAACCUUGGAAUUGCUUUUAAAACUAUUAAUCUAGAGAUUGAAAGAGGAUAGAGGAAUUCCUGAUGUAGAGGUAAAAUUCGUAAAUAUUAGGAGGAACACCAGUGGCGAAGGCGUCUAUCUGGUUCAAAUCUGACGCUGAGGCGCGAAGGCGUGGGGAGCAAACAGGAUUAGAUACCCUGGUAGUCCACGCUGUAAACGAUGAAUGUUAAAUAUGGGAAGUUUACUUUCUGUAUUACAGCUAACGCGUUAAACAUUCCGCCUGGGGACUACGGUCGCAAGAUUAAAACUCAAAGGAAUUGACGGGGACCCGCACAAGCGGUGGAGCAUGUGGUUUAAUUCGAUGCAACGCGAAAAACCUUACCACUUCUUGACAUGGAAAUCAUACCUAUUCGAAGGGAUAGGGUCGGUUCGGCCGGAUUUUACACAGGUGUUGCAUGGCUGUCGUCAGCUCGUGUCGUGAGAUGUUGGGUUAAGUCCCGCAACGAGCGCAACCCUCAUCCUUAGUUGCCAUCAGGUAAUGCUGAGCACUUUAAGGAAACUGCCAGUGAUAAGCUGGAGGAAGAUGGGGAUGAUGUCAAGUCAUCAUGGCCUUUAUGAAGUGGGCUACACACGUGCUACAAUGGUGUCUACAGUGGGCUGCAAGGUGCGCAAGCCUAAGCUAAUCCCUAAAAGACAUCUCAGUUCGGAUUGUACUCUGCAACUCGAGUGCAUGAAGUUGGAAUCGCUAGUAAUCGUGGAUCAGCAUGCCACGGUGAAUACGUUCUCGGGUCUUGUACACACUGCCCGUCACGCCAUGGGAAUUGGUUUCACUCGAAGCU
rnacentral:rRNA from 1 species